AUUGAACGCUGGCGGCAGGCCUAACACAUGCAAGUCGAACGAGUGGCGGACGGGUGUGUCAUGUCUGGGAAACUGCCUGAUGGAGGGGGCUAACUACUGGAAACGGUAGCUAAUACCGCAUACCAUCGGAUUUGCCCAGAUGGGAUUUGCUAGUAGGUGGGGUAAAGGCUCACCUAGGCGACGACCCCUAGCUGGUCGGAGAGGAUGACCAGCCACACGGGAACUGAGAAACGGUCCAGACUCCGACGGGAGGAAGCAGUGGGGAAUAUUGCACAGUGGGGGCAAGCCGGAUGCAGCCAGGCCGCGGGGAGGAGGAAGGCCUUCGGGUUGUAAAGUACGUUCAGCGAGGAGGCGUUACCCACAGAAGAAGCACCGGCUAACUCCGUGCCAGCAGCCGCGGUAAUAC
rnacentral:rRNA from 1 species